GGGCAUGAGGUUCCCUUCAAAAGCUUAAGUUCGAAAUUACUAACUUCCACUCCAAUUCACCAAGAAAUCAAGAUGGGUCAAUCUAGUUCAUGAUUAAUACAUACACCUUUAGAAUAGGAAUUCACAAUCACUACCCAAUUCCCUUUAUACAAGAUUCUAGGGUUUUGAAGACAUGCAUGAAGGUGUUAUCAAGAAUUUCAAAAUCUAGUGCAUAUGGUUCCCUUCCCAAUCUUAGUUUGUAAAUAUAGCAAAAAGGGUUAGGGACUUUGCUUGUGAAAUCAGAAGUGAAGAUAAUGCACCAAAAUUCCCCGAGCUCUAAUGAUUUUGAAAGAUCAAUGGUUGAAGAAAUAGUUUUCUCUCUCAAAAACUCUCUCUUCCUCUCUCUUAUUUUGUUCAGAAAAUGGGUUAAAAUGAGAGAAGGGUUGUUUUAUCAAAAGAGGGGUAGGUCUUAUAUUUUUAGAAAAAUAACUGGGCGAGCUAAAUCUGCGAUGCAACUCUGCGAUCGCAGAACACACGUGCGGUCCACAGAUUGUUCUCAAGUUUUGGACCUCCUCGGGUUGGGAAUGAGGUGGAUAUUCGGUCGGCAUUCGUGUUCUGCGAUCGCAGAAUUCACCGCAGAACUGACCUUCAAAAUUAUUCAGGGACCAUAUGCGAUCACUCUGCGGUCCACAUAUUAAUUGUGCGACCGCAUAUCCGACGGCAUUUUUAACAUAAAAAAUCGGUUGCUCUCUGGAAACUUCUGUGGCAGAAAUGCGGUCCGCAUUUCAGAUCUGCGACCGCAUCCUAGACCAUAGACUGGACCUUUUCUGUAAAAAAUUCGAUUUCACAUUUUUAAGUGCAAAACAGUAAAAAGAAUCUGACGCACAUAGGUAGACUCGACUCUAUGAGCUGCUAACAUUUGAGCACUCAUUUUUGCGGGGCCUUACAUCCUCCCCCGCAUAAGAUCAUUCGUCCUCGAAUGAGGACUUGGGAACCAAAUGAGUUUGAAAACAUGAUAUGCAAGUUCCUACACUUUUAUUAACUUCCAAGUUUGUUUUAGAAAAAAUUUUCUAGUGUUUCCUUUGUAAUAUGGACAUAGACACCUAUCAAAGAACCUCCAAACAUAUUCCUUUAUGAAAAAUUUCGCCAGAGUCUCCUUUGUAAUAUGGACAUAACCACCUAUCAGAGAACCCCCCAAAAUAUAUUUCCUAGCACUAUUCAAAAUCUUGUUGCCAAUAGAGCAGUUCUAAAAUGCACGAUCUUCAUACUUGCACAUAUUCAACCUCUCGAUGCACUUUUAACCAUUUUGGCACACUACAUGUAGUCAAAUUAAGCAUUAAUCAUCUGUACGAUUUAAGCUAUUUACCUAUCACAAGGGUACGACACAAUUAUUCAUUUCAAUGCAAAUCCUCCAUGCAAAAACUAAUCAUUACACAAUUAGAACAUUUUGGUAUUCUCUAUUCAUGCAAAAUUGAUCAUUAUUCCUUGCAUGCAAACUAGUCUUCCGCUUCCCACGUGGCUUCCUCGACUUGUUAGUUUCACCACAAUACCUUAACUGAAGCAAUCUUCUUGUUCCGUAACUUUCGGACUUGUCUAUCCAGAAUAGCAACCAGAAUCUCUUCAUAUGAUAACUCUUCUGUAACCUUGAUGUCUUCAACUUGCACAAUUUUAGAUGGAUCACCCAUAACCUUCCUCAACAUGGAUACAUGAAACACCGGGUGAACUAAGGACAUUUCCGGGGGAAACUCCAACCUAUACACAACUUGACCUAUCCUUUGAGUGAUUUGAUAAGGCCCGACAUACCAAGGACAUAGUUUUCCCUUCUUCCCAAAGCGCAUGUCUCCCUUCAUAGGGGAACCCUCAGGAAUACCCAAUCUCCUUCUUGAAACUUCAAUUCCCUUCGACGCACGUCCACAUAGGAUUUAUGAUGACUUUGAGCAGUCUUCAUUCUCUUCUGAAUGACUCUCACCUUCUCUAUGUACUAUUUCACGAAAUAUGGCCAUAUCAAUUGUGCUUCACCAACCUCGAACCACCCGAUCGGGGAUCUACACCUCCUUCCGUACAAUGCUUCAAACGGGGCCAUCUGGAUGCUAGCAUGGAAGCUGUUGUUAUAAGCAAACUCUAUAAGGGGCAAGUGAUCAUCCCUAUUACCUUUGAAAUCCAAGACGCAUGCCCGCAACAUAUCCUCGAGUGUUUGAAUAGUCUACUCUGCUUGGCCAUCGGUCUGCGGAUGAAAAGUUGUGCUAAGAUUCACUUGAGUACACAAACCUUGCUGAAAUUUCCUCCAGAACUGUAAACUGAGCUCCUCGAUCCAAAAUAAUAGAAAUCAGCGUACCACGAAGCCUAACUAUCUCCUUGAUAUACAAUCGAGCACAUUGUUCCGUAGUAUCGGUGGACUUGACUAGCAAAAAGUGAGCUGAUUUGGUAAGUCGAUCCACUAUCACCCAAAUUCAGUCGAACUUGUGCUGAGUACGAGGCAAUCUUGUCACGAAGUCCAUAAUUAUAAUUUCCCAUUUCCACAUUGGUAUUUCUAUAAGCUUAGUCAACCCUCCCAGCCACUAAUGCUUGGCCUUCACUUGCUGGCAAUUCGGACACUUAGAGACAAAGUUGUAAGGUCCCGUGAAAAUGAGAGCUAAGAUAUUAGCAGCUCAUAGAGUCGAGUCUACCUUCGUGGAUCAGAUUCUUUUUACUGUUUUGUACUUAAAAUGUGAAAUCAAAAUUUUUCCAGAAAAUGGUCAAAAUGCGGUCCAGAAUGCGAUCACAGAUCUGCUAUGCGGACCGCAUUCCUACCGCAGAGUGAGUCAGAGAGCAACUAAUUUUUUAUGUUGAAAAUGCGAUCAAAUCUGAGAUCGUAUAAUCAAUAUGCUAUGGACCGCAUUUCUACCGGAGAGUGAAUUUGAGAGCAACCAAAUUUUUGAUGUUAUAAAUGCGAUCAGAUCUGCGGUCGCAUAAUCAAUAUACGCACUACAAAUUCAUCGCAUAUGGUCCCUAAUAAAAUUCGAAGUUAAGUUCUGCGGUGCAUUUUGCGACCGCAGAACUCGAAUGCGGACCGUAUUUUCACCGCAUUCCCAACUUGAGAGGAUUGAAACUUGAGCCAUUUCUGCGGUUCAUUCUGCGAACCGCAUGUUAGUUCUGCGACCGCAGAUUGCGUCGCAGAUCGUGCUCGCCUUGUAUUUUUCCAAUAUUUUAGACCCGACCCACCUUUUAUUAAAACACCCUCUCCCUCAUUGUUAACACAUUUCUAACCAAAAUAAGAGAGAGGGAGAGAGGGUUGUUGAGAGAGAAAGUGAAUUCUUCAUCAUCUAGUCUUUCAAAACCAUUGGAGCUCGGAACAUUCUUGGUGCAUUGUCUUAUCUACUGAUUUCUCAGGUAAAAUCCCAAACCCACUUCCCCCCAUAUUUCGAUAUUAAGCUUUGGGAGGGGAACCCCAUACACUUUCUUUGAAAUUUCUUCAUAAAAUCUUUAUGCGUGUCUUCAAAACCCUAGAAUAUUGUAAAAGAGGGAGUUGGGGAGUAACUAUGAGUUUAAAUUUCUAAAACCUAAGUGUUGCUCAUGAACUAGAUUGACUUCUUGAUUUCUUGGCGAAUUGGACUAAAGGUUUAAAGGGGAUAAUCAACUCUAGGUAUGUAUGGCUAACAGUGAUCCUUGUGAUAUCGCCUUGUGUUAGUUUGUGAAAUUGUUGAUAGUUGAUAUUCAUGUGGAAAUCAUUGUGAAGCUUUUGUGUUGUAUAUUUUCAUGGUAACACCUUGUGGUGAGAGUUGAGGAACUUGUAAUUGAAACAGUUUGGAAAUGGUUGAAAUGGAAAUGAUGUGAAACAGUGAAAGUGGAAUUAAUGUGGAACAAAGUGCAUGAUUGGCUGUGAACAACUGUUGUGGUAACCCAAAUUGUGUACCAAUUUGAUGAACAUGAGGAAAAUAUUGUUGCGAGUUUUGGAAUUACAUUAUCCUUGUUGUGGAUCUAUUUUAACAAUGUGCCAUAGUUGAUUUCUUGUAUUUUUUGUGUUGUAUGUUGUUGUGAACUGAAACUCUCAGGCGGGGUCAGGUUGCGCGCAGCAACACGGUGAAAUAAGGUGUGGGUUAGGGUGAUAAGCGUGGCCAAGGUAAUAAGGGUGGACGAGGUAAUAAAGGUGCAAAAUGUGAUCCAAUAUCACUAUUGAUAUGAAUAUAAAUCCUGAAAUGAUAAAUGUGGAAUUGUGAAAGGAGACAACAGGAGAGUUUGUAACCUAUUUGAAUAAUUGUAUCAUUUGUUGUAAAAUGUUUGGUUGUUGCUCCAAGGUUGUACUCGUACUAUUGUUGCUCAGUUUUGCACUUGUAUAUGCAUUUUUUGUUUGAGUUUACUUGGGACAGAGUUUGUUCAUACAUGCAUGUACAAUUCAAAUGUACAGACGUCCUUUUUGCCGGGGGCGCUACAUUCGUGUUAUGAUUGUAGGUAGAUCCGUGUCAGGCACUCCAGUCCACCGUCCGUAGCUCCUCCUCCUUUCUAUCAGAUGUGUACAUUUUGGUGAGCCCCUCUCCUUCUGGGGCCCUGCGUGGUUCAGGCUACCUUUGUUAUUGUAAUAGUAGUUUUAUGGUGUCAUUGCAAAGGUAUAGCCGGAGCCUUGUCUCCGGCAAGUGUUGUAUUAUCUUUCUCCUAGAGGCUCCGUCGAAAGUGGUAUGUGGGUUAGAACUUGUGUAUAAAGGUGAAUGUUUUGGGCGCUGAAGUUUGUACACCAUGUUCUUUUUAGUCAUAAUAUGGGUUUGUAAAAGAUGUUCCAUGUUAAUCAUAAUGUGUGUUUAUAAAAGAGAAUUUCUAUUUAUCUGAAUUUUAAUUUGGUAUCCUUUGGCUAAUUGACAAGGAAUGAUAUGGGGUAACGCGUGGGAAAUAUGAGAGGCACCCAGGUCCACUCGACUGGGGCGUGACAAACUUGGUAUCAGAGCCUAAGGUUUUAAAGGAGUCCUAGGAUGUCUCGGAGCCGUACCUCGUAGAGCCCUUCUUAUUGGUGUGUUGUCGACCACAUAUAUAAGUUGGGGGCUAUGCGGGCAUUUAGGAAAAACUAUCCUCCUCUUUUUUAUUCCAAGUUCAUGCGGUGAACUGAUGUUGUGUCUACUUCGUGCUCUAUUUUGAAUUUUCAGUAAUGGCACCUAAGAAGAAAGCAAGACUCGGCCUAGGGGCCAACGCCACUUCCAGUGCAGCUGUAAAUCAUGUGCCGACUGCCGUGGGUGAGAGUGAUUCCCCAGUUCUGAAUUUUCCUGCCCCAUUUGUUCCUGAUCCAAGAAAUAAUGUUCCAGCAGCGGCCGAGGGUGCUACUAUCCCUCCUGCCAAUGCUCCUAAUCCUAAUGUUGCUCUAGCUUUCGAUCCCGGGAUUUCUGAUUGAGAUCUUAAGGGAGCCAUCCGCAUGUUGACCCAGUUAGUGGCCGCCCAGGCCUAGACAUCUCAUGAUUCCCAUGUGUCCUCCAGCGGAUAGGGAGAUUCCUCCAGCUCCAAAGGGAACCAGUUUCUGGAACCGUCCCCUUCAGAGUUCUCAGGCACAGACCCCAGAGGCUGAUCCGCAAGAAUUCCUUGAUGAGAUGUACAAGACCGUACGAGUGAUGAAGGCUACAGAGAUAGAGGGGGUAGAAUUGGCUUCAUACAGGUUGAACGCAGUGGUGCAUUCGUGGUUUGAGAUGUGGGAGGAUUCUCGUGCGGAGGGGAGACCUCCUGCUAGAUGGAAUGAGUUCGUAGAUGCCUUCAUGGACCACUUCUUUCCUGCCGAGACCAUGGUAGCCUGUGCCACCAAGUUUGAGGUUCUUAAGUAGCAUGAGUGUUUGGGAAUAUCAUAUGGAGUUUGUGAGGUUGUCCAAGUAUGCUCCUAAGUUGGUGUCGACUAUGGAGGCCAAAGUUCGGCUAUUCGUUCAGGGUCAUAGCCCUUUGGUGGUAAAUAAGGCUACUACAACGUCUUUGCAUUCAGACAUGAGCUAUGGGAAGAUAUUGGGUUUUUCUCAUGCCAUAGAGGCCAGCAAGUAUAGGAUUCAGGCAGACAUGGAAAGUAGAAGCAGGGCCCGGUCUAUGGGUCACUCAGGGAGGUCAGCUCUAGGGAGAGGGUCAUCAGGACCAUCUCAGUCAUAUGCUCAGUCAUCAGCUAGUGCAUCGCCAUCUGUGCACCAUUUCCAGUUGAGUAGCCCUUCAGGACCAGGUUCAGACAGCAGGAGGUCCCGCCAGUUCAGUCAUUCGGGAAUGAUACCUCGGCAACAGGGAGGUAUAUGUCCCAAGUGUGGGAGACCAUUCCUUAGCUAGUGCAACACCAUCUGUGCACCAUUUCCAGCACGGUAGCCCUUGGGGACCAGGUUCAGACAGCAGGAGGUCCCGCCAGUUCAGUCAUUCGGGAAUGAGAGCUCGGCAGCAGGGAGGCAUAUGUCCCAAGUGUGGGAGAUUUCAUGCAGAGGCUUGUUACUUGGAUGCUCUAGUAUGUUACAAUUAUGGGGUGAGAGGUCACAUACAUCGGGACAGCCGUGCGCCCAGACAUGGCACGGGUAGGGGACUCGCUCAGCCAUCUAGUUCAUCAGUUGCUACGUCCUCAGUGCGCCCUCCAGCCCAAGCAGGGCGUGGUGCAGCCAAAGGUGGAGCUCGUGGUAGGGGCGGACCCAGCAGGUUUUAUGAAUUGAGUGGCCGUCAGAGUGCUGAGGCUUCCCCAGAUGUUGUCACAGGUAUCCUAUCUGUCCAGACCAUUGAUUGCUAUGCUCUUAUUGAUCCGAGGUCUUCUUUGUCCUAUGUCACUACAUUUGUUUCUUUGAGUUUUGGGAUUGAACCCGAGCAGCUUCUUGAGCCGUUCUCUGUAUCGACUCCGGUUGGUGAUUAUAUUACAGCCGCGCGGGUCUAUAGGAAUUGUGUGGUUAUGGUAGGUGGUCGUGUUACCACAACUGACCUUAUCGAGCUUGGGAUGGUGGAUUUUGAUGUAAUCAUGGGGAUGUAUUGGCUCUAUUCAUGCUUUGCUAAACUCGAUUGUCGGAUGAGAGUCAUGAGACUCGAGUUCCCUAAUGAGCCGGUUAUUGAAUUAAUGGGAAAUGGUGUUGUGCCUAGGGGUAACCUCAAGGCUUCGAAGAUGAUCAGGAAGUGAUGUGUCUAUCAAUUAGUCCGGGUGGCGGACACUACUCCAAAGGUACCUGCCCCCGAGUCCGUGCCAGUUGUGAAUUUCAAAGAUGAUUAAGAAAGGGUGUAUCUAUCAUUUGGUCUGGGUGGCGGACACCACUUCAGAAGUGUUUUUCCCCGAAUCCGUGCCAGUUGUGAAUGAGUUCCUUGAGGCGUUUCCAGAUAAACUUCCGGGAAUUUUCGCUAGAUAGGGAGAUUGAUUUCGGGAUUGAUGUAUUGCCAGAUACUCAACCAAUAUGUAUUCCACCAUAUAUAUUGGUUGAGUAUCUGGCAAUACAUCAAUCCCGAAAUCAAUCUCCCUAUCUAGAGGAAUUUUUGGAAGCUCAUCUGGAAAUACCUCAAGAAACUCAUUCACAACUGGCACGGACUCGGCAUCUGGCAAUACAACAAUCCCAAAAUAAAUCUCCCUAUCUUGCAGAAUUCCUGGAAGCUCAUCUGGAAAUACCUCAGGAAACUCAUUCACAACUGGCACGGAACCGGGGGCAGGUACCUUUGGAGUAGUGUCCGCCACCCGUACUAAAUGAUAGCUUCACCACUUCCUGAUCAUCUUCGAAGCCUUGAGGUAGGAAAUAAACCUACCCCUAGGCACAACACCAUUUCCCUUCCAUUCAAUAAUCGGCUCAUUAAGGAACUCGAGUCUCAUGACUCUUGUCCGGCAAUCAAGUUUAGAAAAGCACGAAUAGAGCCAAUCCAUCCCCAUGAUUACAUCAAAAUCCACCAUCCCAAGCUCGAUAAGGUCAGCCGUGGUAACACGACAUAGAGCCAAUCCAUCCCCAUGAUUACAUCAAAAUCCACCAUUCCAAGAUCGAUAAGGUCGGCCGUGGAAACAUUACCACAUACCAUAACAACACAAUUCAUAUAGACCUGCGCGGCUAUAAUAGAAUCACCAACCGGAGUCGAUACAGAGAACGGCUCAAGAAGUUAUUCAGGUUCAAUCCCAAAACUCGAAACGACAAAUGGUGUGACAUAGAACAAAGAAGACCCCGGAUCAAUAAGAGAAUAGCAAUCAAUGGUCUUGACAGAUAGGAUACCUGUGACAACAUCUGGGGAAGCCUCAGCACUCUGAUGGCCACUCAAUGCAUAAAACAUGCUGGGUCCACCCAUACCACGAGCUCCAUCUCUGGCUGACCAUGCCCUGCUGGGGCUAGAGAGCACACCGAUUACGUGGCAACUAACGAACUGGUUGGCUGAAAAAGUCCCAUACCUGUGCCCUGUCUGGGCGCACGGUAGUCCCGUUGUAUGUGACCUCUCACCCCACAAUUUUAACACAUCAGAGCGUCCAACUAACAGGCCUCUGUAUGAAAUCUCCCACACUUAGGACAUAUUCCUCCCUGCUAUCGAGGUCUCAUCCCCGAGUGACUGAACUGGCGGGGCCUCAUGCUAUCUUAACCUGGCCUCGAAGGGUCAUUCUGCUUAGAACGGUGCACGGAUGUCGGUGCACUGGCUGAGUACUGAGCAUAAGACGGAAAUGGUCUUGAUGACCCUCUCCCUGGAGCUGACCUCCCCAAGUGACCCACAGACCGGGCAUUGCUGCUACUCUCACUAUCAUCCUGAAUCUUCAGUUUCCUGGCCUCUGUGGCCUGAGCAAAACCCACGAUCUUUCCAUAGUUCAUGUUUGAAUGCAAGACCGUUGUAGCAGCAUCCUUUACCACCAAAAGGCUGAGACCCUGAAUGAAUCGCCGAACCCUAGCCUCCAUAGUCAACACCAACUGAGGAGCAUACUUGGACAACCUCACGAACUCCAUAUGAUACUCCCAAACACUCAUACUGCCCUGCAUAAGGACCUCAAACUCGGUGGUACGGGCUGCCAUGGUCUCGGCAGGCAAGAAGUGUUCCAUGAAGGCAUCUACGAACUCAACCCAUCUUGCUGGAGGUCUCCCCUCCUCAUGGGAAUCCUCUCACAUCUCAAUACUCAUGCUACCCUACUUAAGAACCUCAAACUCGGUGGCACAGGCUGCCAUGGUCUCGACAGGCAAGAAGUGGUCCAUGAAAGCAUCUACGAACUCAUCCCACCUAGCUGAAGGUCUCUCCUCUUCACGGGAAUCCUCCUAUAUCUCAAACCAUGAAAGCGCCUCCCUUCAACCUGUAUGAAGCCAAUUCUACCCCUUCUAUAUCUGUAGCCUUCAUCACUCGAAUAGUCUUGUACAUCUCAUUAAGGAAGUCCUGCGGAUCGGCCUCUGGGUCUGUGCCUGAGAACUUUGGAGGGGACAAUCGCAGAAACUGGUAAACUCUGGAGCUGGAGGAAUCAACCUGUCCGCUGGAGGACACAAGGGAAUCAUGAUAUCUCUGGGACUGGGCAGCCUCUAACUGGUUCAACAUAUGGAUAGCUCCCCUAAGGUCUUCAUUAGAAAUCCCGGGAUCGGAAGCUGGAGCAAUAUCAGAAUUAGAAGCAUUAGUAGGAGGGAUAGUGGCACCCUCUACCGCCACUGGAACAUGAUUUCUUGGAUCAGGAACGGAUGGAGCAGGCAAAUUCAGAACUGGGGAAUCCCUCUCACCCACGGCAGUCGGCACAUGAUCCACAGCCGCACUGGAAGUGGCGUUGGUUCCUAGGCCAAGUCUAGCUUUCUUCUUAGGUGCCAUUUCUGAAAAUUCAAAAUAAAGCCUGAAUUAGACACAACAUUACUUCAUGGCACGAACUAGAAUAAUCAAAGAAGGGAAUAGUUUCCUAAAUGCCCGUGUAGCCACAAACAUAUAAAUGUGGCCGACAACAUACCGAUAAGAAGGGCUCUACUAGGCACGGCUCUAAGACAUCCUAGGACUCUUUAAGCCUUAGGCUCUGAUACCAAGUUUAUCACGCCCCAAAUCGAGGGGCAUGACCAGUGCCCGACCGGGUAGCCCCAGACAAGCGGACCUGGUUACCUUUCCUACUCCCAUGUAUUACCCCACAAUUAUUCAUUAUCAAUUAACCAAUAACACUUGAUGUAACUGAAACUAAACGGAACUCCACUUUUUACAAAAGAUAUACAUGUUACUAUUACAGCUAACGUGGUUUACAUAUUACAACGCCCAUUAGGUACACAUAUAUUACAAAAGUUCCACAACCCACAUCAUCCAGUCUACAGAGCCUCUAAGAUGAAGAAAACGAGACAAUACUUGCUGGUGACAAGUCCCCGGCUAUACCUUUACAAAAUGACACAAAACUAUAAAAUACAACAACAAGGGUGGCAUGAGCCACACGAGGCCCCGGAAGGAAAAAGGCUCACCAGUUACCAACACUGCCGAAAAGGAAGGAGGAGGAGCUACAAACGGUGGAGUGGAGUGCCUGCCGCGGAUCCACCUACAAUCAUAACACGAAUGUAGUGCCCCCAACAAAAAGGACGUCAGUACAUUUGAAUUGUAUUGGCAUGUAUGAACAAACUCUGUCCCAAGUAAGAUCAAGCCGAAAAUACAUAUACAAGUGGAAAGCUAAACAACAAUAGCACAACAAUGGAACAACAACCAAGCAUUUCACAGCAAAUGAUACAAUUAGUCGUAAACUCAAGCCAAAUUGCAUAUAUAAGCAUAAAACUGAACAACAAUAGUACAACCAUGGAGCAACAACCAAACAUUUCACAGUAAAUGAUACAAUUAGUCAAACAAAGGGUUAAUCAGUGCCUCGCAGGUUACAAACUCUCCUGCUGUCUCCUUUCACAAUUCCAUAUUGAUCAUUUCAUGAUUUAUAUUCAUUUCAACAGUGAUAUUGAAUCACAUUUCCACCUUUAUUACCUCGUCCACCCUUAUCACCCCAACCCACACUUUAUUUCCACGUGUUACGGCAUGCAACCCGACCCUGCCUGAAAAUUUUUGUUCACAAACAGCAUACAACACAACAACAAAUACAAGAAAUCAACUAUGGCACAUUAUUAAGAUAGAACCAUAACAAGGGUAAUGUACAUCCACAACUAGCAACAAUAAUUUCCUCAUAUGCAUCAAUUUAUACACAUUCCGAGUUACCACAAUGGAUGUCCAUAUCCAACCAUAUAUUGUCACAACAUUAGUUUCGGUUUCACUAUUCAAGAAUUCUUUCCAUCACAUGUUCCUCAACCUUUUCCACAAGAUAUUAUCGCACAAGUGUAAAUCACAAGAAUUCACAGUGAUCCCCACAUGAAUAUCAAUUAUCAAGCAAUUUCACAAACCAACAUAGGGCAAUUUCACCAGGAUCACAGUUAGCAUACAUACCUGGAAUUGAAUAUCUCUUUCUAAAGUCCACUCCAAUUCACCAAGCAAUCAAGAUGGGUCAAUCUAGUUCAUGAUUAAUACAUAGACCUNNNNNNNNNNNNNNNNNNNNNNNNNNNNNNNNNNNNNNNNNNNNNNNNNNNNNNNNNNNNNNNNNNNNNNNNNNNNNNNNNNNNNNNNNNNNNNNNNNNNNNNNNNNNNNNNNNNNNNNNNNNNNNNNNNNNNNNNNNNNNNNNNNNNNNNNNCACUACCGAAUUCCCUUUUUACAAGAUUCUAGGGUUUUGAAGACAUGCAUGAAGGUUUUAUCACGAAUUUCAAAAGCUAGUGCAUGUGGUUCCCUUCCCAAGCUUAGGUUUGAAAAUUUAGGGAAAAGGGUUAAGACUUUACCUUUGAAAUCAGAAGUGAAGACAAUGCACCCAAAUUCCCCGGGGAUCCAAUAAUUUUGAAAGAUCAGUGGUUGAAGAAAUAGUUUUCUCUCUCAAGAACUCUCUCUUCCGCCCUCUUAUUUUGUUCAGAAAAUGGGUUAAAAUGAGGGGGGUGUUGUAUUAAAUGAGGGGUCAGUCUUAGAUUUUUAGAAAAAUAACUGGGCGAGCUCAAUCUGCAAUGCAGCUCUGCAAUCGCCGGACUCAUAUGCGGUCCACAGAAUGGACCGCAGAUUGAUCUCAAGUUUUGGACCUCCUCGGGUUGGGAAUGCGGUGGAUAUGUGGUUCGCAUUCGUGUUCUACAGUCGCCGAAUUAACCGUAGAACUGACCUUUGAAAUUCUUCAGGGACCAUAUGCGAUGACUUUGCGGUCCACAUAUUGAUUAUGCAACCGCAGAUCCGACCGCAUUUUUGACAUAAAAAAUUUGUUGCUCUCUGGAAACUUCUGCGACAAAAAUGCGGUCUUCAUUUCAGAUCUACGACCGCAUCCUAGACCGCAAAUUGGACCUUUUUUGGAAAAAUUUCUAUUUCACAUUUUUAAGUGCAAAACAGUAAAAAGAAUCUGACCCACGUACGUAGACUCAACUCUAUGAGCUGCUAACAUCUGAGCACUCAUUUUCGUGGGGUCUUACCCUGAGGAUCUCUUGGUAUCCUCAAUAUAUGUGUCAGGGAUCUUUGGGUAUCCCGAGGAUAUCUUGGUAUCCUCAAUAUAUGUGUCAGGGAUCUCUUGGUAUGUUGCACCACAUUCUAAAAAAUAAACACGUGCGGGGGAUCUCCCAGGAUGCCGUCACAUUGUCCCAAUUUAAAACACAUAGCAGCAGCUCAAGUAUAUCAAAACAAAUACUAAAUUCGUAACAAGUAAACAGUAAAUUCUAGCCUAACAUGCAUCACGUAAUGCAAUUAAGGCAGUUUAAGCAAAUAUGCAAUUAAGUAAUCUAAGCAUGCUUUUCUAAACUAACACAGUCUAUAUUUGCACGUAGAAUAAAACAGGUAAGAAAGGAACUCAGUUUAAAUAUUUAAAGUAAAAUCGAAAUUUUCAACAAUUAGCUCAAGUACGCGCUCGUAACCUAGCAUACAAGGAGUUCAAUUACCAAAUAAGGGGAAAAGUCCCAACACAAGAUUAGACAAGCCACUUACCUCGAACCGACUCAAAAUCAACUCGAAACCACAGUUUUGCCAUGAGUAUCCGACUCUAAAUGGUCUAAAUCAAUUCAAUUCAAUUGCAUAUUAUAAAUAACACCUUAAGUGACUAACUCUACGACUUAACUCAAACCUAAUACGUGAAACUUAGGUAAAAUGACCAAAAUUCUCCUCAGGCCCACAUCUCAGAAUCAAGUGAAAGUUAUAUUUUCAGAAAUCUUGUACGCUCACAAGUCUAUACAUAACAAGAACACUGAAAUCGGAGUCCAAAUGACCUCUCAAAUACCCAUUUAAAGGUCUCUUAAACUCAAUCCCUAAUUGCCCUUUUUCUAAAAUGUUCACCAUUAUAUAAGUCUUUAAUUAUAUGGAAUCGAGUUAUAAAGUCAAUGACGUUGCCUCCACGUGAUUUCCCUUUAUUUUCCUCAAAAAUCCCUAUCCAAAGCUUCAAACUCUGAUGAAAAUGGUGAAAGAUUAGCCAAUUUUUGCUAACAAAACUAAUUAUAUGUUCUGCCUAGCGACUUUCGCAUUUGCGACCCAGCUUUUGCGGAACGAGUUUCGCAUCUGCCACUUAUCCUUAAGUGACAAGAAACCACAUCUGCAAGUCCGUUUUUGCAGAUGCAAAGCCACUUCUGUGGACUCUAAAGACAAGGCUCAAAUCCGCUUUUGCGGUCUCUACGCCACUUCAGCGGCCCCCAAACCGCAGGUGCGGUUAUGACAGAUACCAGCUGAAACCUGCAAUAUCUAAUCAUCAAAAUCCUUCCGUCAACUAUCUGAAAUAAUCCCGAGGGUUUCGGGACCUCAAUCAAAAGCUCCAACAUCACCUAAUAUCUUAUUCAAACUUGUACCAAUCCUUAAAUCACCUAAAAGAACAUCAGAAACUCGAAUUAAUCAAGGAUAUAAGCCUAGGAAGUCCAAAUUUCCUCAAAUAUGCUUUGGAUCAAAAGCCUAAUUUAACCACGUUCAAGUGACAUAAAAUUUUGCAUACACAUACCAAAUGACAUGACAAAACUACUACAACUUUUGGAAUUCCAUUCCGACCCUUGGAUAAAAAUCUCACUACUGAAUCGAAAACUUCCAAAAUUCAACUUUCAGCAUUUCAAGCUUAAAUUAGCUACGUACUAUCAGAACACAAUCCAAACACGCUCCUAACCCCUAACUCACCCAACAGAGCUAACGGAACCAUCAGAUUUUUAUUCCAAGUCUGUCUUUACACUGCUCCGACUAUGGUCAACUUUCCAAUACUUAAGCUCUCAUUUAUGGACUUAGUGUACCAAAACACUUCGAAACUCAAAAACGAACGUCCCAACAACAAAAAUAACAAAAAUAAAUAGGGGGAAAGUAAUUAAUAAAGGGCCGAGGCAUUAAUUCUAAAAAUGGUCGGCCGGGUCAUUACAGUUGUACAACCGCCUAGUACAGAUUUGUAGUAAUUCGUACAAAUCAAUUCUAGAAUUUAAGCUAUAAUCUCGGGAACGUGAAGAUAAUCUCAUCCUUUUGUAUCAAACUCAUAAUGUCACUAUCUCGGAGUUGGUUAUACUUGGCUCCGAUGAUCCCUGAACACUUAGGUCUUCGAGCCUCUUACUUUGUCUUCGAUCCCGAGCUUGUUCUUUAUCGAACUUAUGCCCUUGGUGUGACAUCUUGAGCCUACUAAAUCAUAAGCAUAUGAUUUUGACUGUAUAUAAUGUACGUGCUCGUGAAAAAUAGCAUAGAAAAGUGUCAAUCCCACGAGGAAUAUGGUACUAUUCUACUAUUUAUGCUUGCUUAAUUAAGCUAAUGUAGAAUGAUUUCAAAAAUGUUAUUAAACUAAUGAAUAACAAAUAUUACAAAAAACACAUAAAGCACAUGUCGAAGUUAUUGAUUGAAGUUCAAGAGAGGAAACAAGAUGGCUCAAGUUACCCUAUGGCUAUGUUAUGAUUCUUGUUUCCCUUGACCUAGUCGAUAUAAUUAAAAGUGGAAGCCUAGAAUUAAAUCAAUAUCCUAUAUUAUUACCUAUUAAAUUUAACAUUAAUAUGUAAGUUUAAAAUAUAAAAAGUAUCGAAGAUUUGAGAGGUCGUGUUCCUUUUGUUUUGUGACCAACCUUACUUUUGAAUUUGUUUCAACCAUUGGUUACCUUAUUUGGUUUUGUUGUUAAAUUGUCCAUCUUAAUCACCACUAAAAUAUACAAAAAUAGUAGAUAUAACUCUCUGCACCUACUUAGAAUGCAAAAACCUUUAUUAAAUGGAGAAAGUAGGAUUUCAGUGUAAGCUUAUGACACAACUCUAUGAUUAGAGGUAAUCUAUCUCUACCCCUCCUAUAUAAAAAUAUAGGGAAAACGUCCAAAAUAGGCCCUCUAACAUGUCAUAUUGUUUACUUUUGUCACCCUUUAUACUUUUCGUUCAAAUCUAUCCCUACCAUUAUCAAAGUUUGCAUAAUUUCUCCUAACCCUAACGUACCUCCACUGUGGCAGCUGACCCCUCUAAUAUUUUGUCCACCCCAGCAGCCAAGUCAGCAGGUCCCACCAAAUAAAAUGCCAAGGUAGAGUUUGUAUCAUCACUUUUAAUAAUAUCGUUUAUCGUAAAAAUAGUAACAAUAAUUAAAUUUAUAAAUGAGAUUCUAAAAAUACGUGAUCUAUUCCUGAACUAGUUGUUGGAGCAGUCGAUGCUAAAAAUACUAAGGGUAAAAAUAAGUCAAGAGCUAAAGCGAUGCAGUAAGCAAACCGAAGGGGGCCUGUUUCCCUAGCGCGAAGAAGAUCGAAGGAGGCAUCGCAGCCGAGGCUUGAGCCAAGAUCGAGCUAUCAGAGAUAGUUGGGGAAGAGACAAUGAGCAGAAAGAUGAUUAAGUGAGGCUCUUAAUGGACAGUGUAUAACUAGACAUCGAAGAACAAGUAAGAAACAAUAAAUGCGAAAUGGCUUCGGGCCAAUGAAAAUAAAUGAUUUAGAAGAAAAGAGAGAGAUAGAGAGAUAUUAUUGCACUUGGGGAGAAAUGGAGCAACGUCAGUUUAUUACAAAGUUGUAUGGGUUCCCUUUAUAUAGGCAGGGGAACACGACAUAGUACAGGAUGCAUUAAAUGUAAAGACACGAGAAUGGGACGGCUAGUCAUGGUACGGUGGUAGAGCCUGUUGACUCUAGCUGCUCGCCUUGGGAGUCCCCCAUCUUCGUAAUUUUUCUAGGUCGCGGAUGGAUCCUUGAAACUCAGGGCCACUGUAGGACCAUCGAUGAUCCUCGAGAUAGAGGGCUCAAUCAUUAUCCAAUAGCCUCAAGGUGUUGUCUUGGUAUUCUAAGUAUGCCUUAAAGGCAGGAGAUGGAUUCUCCUGAUUUCGCAAUACAUAGAUAGUCUCCACAUUUCCUAAUACAGAGUGAAAGGAAACAAUGUUUUAUCAUUGUCUCAAGGUCAUAAUUGUCAUGACGUCAACCAUCUAUGAGCAUUAAAUGCCAUAUCCUAAGAAACCGUGCAGAGCAGCUGUCAAAUGCGGUAAUCGAAAAGUCCCUGAACUGCCAUAGGUUUGUCUCUUUCGCUUCCCCAACAGUUUCUACAAAUGCUUCAGUUGCUAGAUACUCCCCCUCUUCAUAUCGUCCUCAAGCUUUUAAGCUAGAAUUUCGCAAUUUGACACCUUUACAUUUUUCUUUCUCUUUACAAAAAAGGAUUCACCAUCUAUUAUGGCUAUGACUUUUAAUAAGCUCCCUCGAUGAGGUGAUACUGCAUUGUCGUCCCGACCAUCUAAGGGGGAAAAUAAAUUGGUUCCCUCUUUGGAUCAAUGGACCCAUCCCGAUACCUAUAUGUUGGAUGAUUUUGACAUAGAAACUCCCUCAUCCACACCAAGGCAAUGUGAGCAUGUAUCCUGAUAUUCAGCAUCGUGAACAAUGUUGACAAAGUGAAGGAGGAUUACCGAUGGAGUAAGGCAGUUGAGGUAGAAAUUCAUGACUAUGGCGACAAUAUUAGUGACUUUAAGGAUGGCUUCCUCUACGUAUACACUUACUCAUUCACCUUGUGACCUCGUAAAUCAGCCGGAUCUCAUCCUUUGGAAAUCAACCCGGUUAUCCUUGACUUUUCUGUUCAAUAUCGGGUGACCCUCGGUCAGAUCUACUAGUCCUUUUGGAGGAUCAUGUUGAUGCUCAGAAAUUUUACCGAAGGGGUUACAAGCAAGGUCUUUACCCUUAGCCAUUUCAUGAGGUUGUACCGUCCGCGGCUGUAUUGAGUCUUAGUCAAUCUUCAACAUCGAUCCAAAACAUCUUUCUUCACAAUUGUUGAUGAGGGAAAUGACCGUGGGUGGAUGCGCAAGUUUGUUCCAGUGAGGACCUCAGAUAUCAUCCCGUCCUGGAGGAUUCCCUUUCCAGAGCGAUGGAAUGAUCAACGUGAGUGAACUUCUCUUUAGCUACUUCUGAAUUAUUCCUCUUUUCUCACGAUAAUCCUUUUUCUGCUUUCUCCAGCAUCGCUUGGUAUCCCGAGGCGGUCCCAGACUUGGUGGUAUGGAUCUAGUAUUUGGAUGCAAAGUUCCUAUAUCAUCUCCAAUCUUGGACUGUCAUGUCCAAGAACCACUGGGUGGCUAAGAAUCUAGUGAGGCUUUUUCAAAGUUAGUGCUUUACCUUUUUUGUUUCUUUUCAAACUCUAGGUAGCGAUGUAUUGUGACUCUUGUGUUGGUGUAGGCCUUUGAGAGAAUAUGCAGAUGAGGCACCCCCCCCCCCCCGGAUGAGCAGGUUUAUUCGAGUGAGGACCUCAGAUAUCAUCCUGGCCCGGAGGAUGCCCUUUCCAUAGUGAUGGAAUGAUCGAUGCAAGUGAACUCUCCUUUUAGCUAUUUCUCUAUUAUUCUUUUGUUUGUCAUGAUAACCUCUUUGUGCUCUCUCCAACCGCUGCUUGGCAUUCUGAGGUGGUCCCAGACUUGGCGGGAUGGAUCAGGCGUUUGGAUGGAAGUUUCUCGUAUCAUCUCCGGUCUUAGACCGUCAUGGCUAAGGAGCAUUUGAUGGUUAAUAAUCACAGUGAGGUUUCUUUACCGCUCGUUUUCCACACUUUUUAUUCCUUCCGAGCUCUAAGCAGUGACAUAUCACGUUUAUUGUGUUGGCACAGGCCUUGGGGAGAAUAUGCAGAUGAGGCCAACCCCUGAUGGUGAAGCCGAGGCCUUGGGGCCUGAUAUGAACAAGAAAAGGAAAGACAGGCCAGCCACUGCUUGUCCUGAUGAAACCAUUGCCCUAACAUCCGAGUUGAACCCUGAUGUUGAGGGAGAGGACAAGGAUAGAAGUCCAUUGAGGAGAAGGAUGAGGUCCAGUGGGAUAUAUUUAUACGUGUCUCGGUCAGAGGCUGGUGAGUCCGGGCCGGCCGGGUCCGGCAAGUCUAAAGAGCCGAGGGUCCUCGAGGGGGAUAUUGUUGUGGCUUCGAGUCGUGCGAACGGAUUUGAUGUGGAUUCUAUUAGUAGGAACAUUGGUACCGUUGGUUUGAGGUUCGGGACAUUCCAAGGACAUGGGCUACUAUUCGGAGAGAUCAACGGCCCAAACUAUCUUAUUUUGAACUACCCGGUCUCGUUGGGAGAGGUGAGGGAUACCGAAAGGAUGAUCGACGCCACGGUUGGCACACCAUUAAGAGGGGGAGGUUUUAUUGCCAACAUCUUAGAUGGCGUAAAUAACAGAGCUAACCUCAACGUUUCUUGUAAUGUUAAGAGUAGAAGAAGUCCUUGCAGCAGGUGGAGUUUUUUCUUGUGUGUUCCUUUUUAUUUUCGGGCAUCAAUUGUCAUAUCUCCUAAUUUUUUCAUUGUGUUGCAAUGCAAAAAGGCCUGCAAUCACAUCAUCCUCUGUCUUUGAAAGGAACUUUCUGGCUGGGAGAAGGAGCGCGAUAUCACUACUUCGAAACUUCAAGACUCGGAGGCUCGUAGCGCUUGGGGAAAUAAAGAAUUGGGGGAGUAUUGGGUCUCUUUUGAGGAGGGUCUUUGGGAGAAGGCCACUCUUGCUGCAUAGGUACUUAACCUUGCUCACCUAUUUGUUAACUCAGUAUCUACACAAGUUUCGUUAUUUACAUAUCCAUCAUCUUGCCUUUCUUUUAUGUAGAGUAGAACAACUCACGAAUUAGUCAGUUAGAGGCGGAGAUCUUCGAGCUGAAGGAGUGGAGCGAUCCCAAGGCCGGUGAAUUAGUGACCUCCCGAGGCCUUCUUUUGGACACUCACGGGGAUAUUGCUACUUUAACUACGACUAUGUCUGGGGCUGAGUGAGAUGUUGCUGCUCAUGAGGAGGAUGUGGCUUCAGUGCAUGCAAUGGUUCGCGACAUAUCUCUGGUGGUCGAACAGAAGAUGGUCCAAGCUGUCGAGCAUGCAUAAGCAAAGAUGAAGAAGGAGGUCUUGGAAGAACUCAAGGCUAGAGGCUUCAAGCUAUCCACUGAUCUAGAGGAGGCUCACGCGAUGGAGGGAAGACUGGCGCUUUUGAUUGUCCUCGAAGGGCUGAAGAUGAUAGUAGGGAAGAGUAGUCUCCAAGCCCAUUUUUUAUAUGCCUUCUUUUUUGUUAUAUGUGCUUUUUCUUUCGGGAGACCAAUAAUAUAAUAAAGGUUUUUUCCCUUUUUGUUAAUACAUGAAAGGAAAUUUUAUUCUACUAGUUCUUCUUGCUGCUUUCCUUCUUUCCUUCCCUCUUUUUGCUUUUGUUUCCAAGCAUCAGGCGUUGGCCCUAGGGUUCCUUCCUGUGGGAUAGACUCGGGGACCUAAGGCUAGCCAUGUCCCGAGGUCCCUUGACUUCAUGAGUCAUGUGAAAUCCCGAGAUGAUUCUGCACGUGUACUCUCCAAGGAGAAGAUGGAUUUUAACGUGGCCAGAAUUAAUUGGCCUUCUUUAGGAAAUUAAGCAGUUGUUUCGUGCACCUUAUAUAUUUAUCUAUCUGCCCUUCAAGCGGUGACUUUGCAAUUAUUGGUUAAGCAUAUCUCCUUUUUAGAUCCUGAAGCUUUGUGUGAGUCCCUCCAUUUCUUUGCUUCUGGGAGUUUUUGCUUGGAUCCUCCCCUUUUUCUCCUUAUUUCAUCGUGGCCAUCGCUGAUGCUUUGACAUUUGAUCCUCAGACGAAGGGGAUCCUUUCCUGUGUUCCUUUAUUGGUUGGUGCCAAUGGCCCUUUCCCGAUGCCGGGGGAAUGAGACCCAGAGUGCACUACCUUGAAGAAGGUUGCCACGCCGGUAAAGCCUCCCAAUGUUCCGGGCCAUCAUGAGCAUGUGUAGAGGAUUAUCUCAUCAGUGAGGGAGGAGAACCUUAGGGAGAUCAAGAGAGAAUGCAGAUGGAGGAAGGCGUGAUACUACAAAUACCUUCCCCUGAGCAGAGUGCCAUGACAUAUGUUGAGGGUAGUGUGAGAGUGUAUACCCACGUUCUCACGUCGGGUCCCUCGAACUGGGUUGUGCUUGAUUUUUGUAAAAGGUAUGAAGUAAAGUUGGUGCAGGUUCAUCCCUUUUUAUGGAGGAUAGUGUAGUCGAUGAGAUACUUUGCUGAUAAGGUUAGGAUAGAGUUCACCCUUAGUCACCUUAUAAGGUUAUAUUGGCCAUUGUGUUAUCGGGUCCUAUUUACUCGUUUGUGUAGGUCCACUCUAGCUUCUACAGUUGGCAACAAGGAGGAUGAGGAUCAACGGUGGAUGGGUCAUUUUGUUCGAGUUCGAAUGACCGACAUUAUCCCCGGAUAACUUUGACCAUUCCCCGAGAAAUGGAACUCCGCACGUAAAUAAUCUGUUCGAACUGUCUUUCUCUUUAUUUGAGGCUGGCCCCAUAAUGAUGCCUUUUUGUCUUUCGCUUAUAACAAGUCAUUGGUCGCCCGAUGGGGUUCCUGAUUUAGCGUAAUGGUCUCAUACGCUGGCAGAUAGCUAGGCUCAUGAUAAGCACCGAUGGCGAGAUCUAUCAAAAGGGAGAUGGGAGGCAAAACACUAUGUUAUAUGCUCGGCGUUCCCCCUCAUAUUUUGGGAUGGCUUCCCUUUAGCUUAAUCAGUCGAUUUCUCUAUCCUAGGUGCUGGGAGUUUAUUCUAAGCGAGACUGGAUUCUCUGAAGAAGGAGGAGAGAUUACUCACCCAAGUGUCAAGGAGCGUUGGCAAAAGGAAAGAUGUUCCUCGGUGUGAGAAGGCUUGGAGUGAGGUGCCCUCUCCGCAGUGGCUGAGGGGAUAUGAUCCGCUUGGCCGGUAAGAUUUUGGUAUUGAUGCACCACUAUGGGUCGCUUUGGCCAUCGGUGAGUCUCAACGUAUUGGCCUUGUGGUGAGUUUUCGAUCAUGGUAGGGAUGUUCUGACCACAUGAUCAUUUCUCUUCCCUUUACUUACCUGGAUCUUCUUGUUCUUCAGGCUUUUGAUAAGCUCAAAACUACACUGCUUGGUUGAGAGGCUCUGCUGUGGGAAGCUAGAGAAAGGGAAAGAUACCUCAAACUUCUUUAUGCAAUAAAGGAAAAUGAGUUCGUCUCUUUGCAGCAUGGGGUGGAUCGAAGCCAUGCCCGGGAGGCCCUCAUGGAGACACAGGUAUUUUGCAUCCCGUAUUGGCCUAUAUUCCCCUUUUUUGUCCUACCAUCUCUGAUGUGUUGCUGCUUCAGUUGAAGGACAAGGAGAAUGAGCUAGAAAAACUCUGGGGCUAGGUCAGCAAGACCAACCGUGACUUUGCUGAGCUGCAAGCGUGUACUAGUGCCCAUUCUGAGGUCAAAGAAAGGGCUCAGGCCGCAACAUCAACUUUCAAGGCGCAAAUUCAACUCGCUCAUGCACAUUUUUCUCGGUUAAAGAUUCUUAAGAGGCUCUCAUCCGAGCUAUUAAGGGAAAAAGUCGAGAUGGUGAACUUCCUGGCUGAGGUUGUGAUAAAUAAUACCAGGGCGGGGCAGAAUAUGGCAGCUCAUUCAAGGAGUGCCGCUGCUGCUAGGGUUGAGCUGAAGAAGGCCUUUGAUCGUGCAAACAAUUGUAGGGAGUACGAGAGCUGCAGAUCUCGGAGGGAGACCCACGAGGAGAUUCAUGUUAGAGGCUUUGAACUUUCAGAAGAGAUCUAAGAAGCCAAAGGAGCGGAGUUCAAUGCCAAGUUCCUGAUAUCUGAUGAUGAGGAUGAUGUGGAGGAGAUCACUGGGCCAUAGCUACCGGAAUAAGGGGAAAGAAUAUUCCAUGCCGAGGCUUGAGCAAAGAUUGAGCUAUCAGUUACAGUCUGGGAAGGAAAAACAAGCAGAAAUACGAUUAAGUGAGGCUCUUGAUGGCCAUUAUAUAACUAGACGACGAAAAACAAGUAAGAAAACAAUAAGUACAAAAUGUCCACGGGCCAAUGAGAACGAGUGACUUAGAAAAAGAGAGAAAGAGAGAUAUUAUUACACUUGUUAUGAAAUGGAGAAACAUCAGUCUUUUACAAAAGUGGCAUGAGUUCCCUUUAUAUAGGCGGGGUAACACGGCAUAGUACAUGAUACAUUAAAUGUAAAGACACAGGGAUGGGACAACUCGGCAUGGCAUGGUGUCAGAGCCUAUUGACUCUAGCUGCUCGCCUCGGGAGUCCCCCCAUCUUCGUAAUUUUUGCUGUGUCGUGGACGGACCCCUGAACCUCGGGGCCACUGUAGGAUCGCUGAUGAUCCUCGAGAUAGAGAGCAUGAUCCUGAUCCCAUAGCCUCGAGGUGCUGUAUCGGUAUUCCAAGUAUGCCUUAAUGGAAAGAGAUGGAUUCUCCUGAUUUUUCCAUACAGAAAUAUCUUAGUAAUUGCAUUUAUUAAAUUAAAAAAUUUAUCGUAGGGUUAGGGGAAAUUUUUCUUUUUUUCCUUUUUUCUUUUGUUUUUCUGUUUUUUCUUUUUUCAACAUUACUUCUUCUACUUCUCUAACGCCAUAGCCACUGCCACCGCAACCUGAAAGAUAAUAAAACCCAUCAUGUAUUAUUUAAAUUCUUGAUUAAAUUAGAAAUAGAGUGAGAUAGAUUUUCUGCAUGGGCUGCAAGUUCUAGUAAUCUCCUCCAUCUCUGGUCGUCUUGGUAGAAAAAUGCCCGCCGGUGAAGAACCACGCUUACAUUGGCAAAAGAUUAUCAAUGAAUUUUUUUAUCUUACCUUUAUUUGUCGCAGAACUUCCUCCUAUAUACCUCAAUAUCUUCAUUGCUUUCACUUUUCUUCCCUAAAAAUGUAGAACUAAAGAAAAACUUGGUUGCCUAAAAUCAUGAAGGCGAGUUAGAGGUCAUGAUAUUACUGGUGGGAUAGAAGCUGGUGGUUGUAUGGUAAUGUCAUGGGUGGUAAUGGAGGUUUCCAGCAUUAUCUAGUCUUAUUGUUACGAUCUAAACUCAAGGGUAAAUUUAAUAGAGUUGUGGUUAGACCUGCAAUGUUGUAUGGAGCGGAGUGCUGGCCCGUGAAGAACUCUCAUGUUCAGANNNNNNNNNGUGGUUAGACCUGCCAUGUUGUAUGGGGCGGAGUGCUAGCCAGUGAAGAACUCUCAUGUUCAGAGAAUGAAGGUUGCGGAGAUAAGGAUGCUCAGGUAGAUGUGCGGGCUCACCAGGUUAGAUAAGAUUAAGAAUGAAUUUAUUCGAGAGAAGGUGGGGGUGGCCCCGGUAGAUGAGAAGUUGCGAGAAGCGAGGCUGAGGUGGUUCGAGCAUGUGCAGAGGAGAAGUCCCGAUGCCCCGGUGAGGAGUUGUGAUAGUCUGGAGCUUGUUGGCGUUCGGCGAGGCAGAGGGAGGCCUAAGAAGUAUUGGGGAGAGGUGAUUAGGCAUGNNNNNNNNNNNNNNNNNNNNNNNNNNNNNNNNNNNNNNNNNNNNNNNNNNNNNNNNNNNNNNNNNNNNNNNNNNNNNNNNNNNNNNNNNNNNNNNNNNNNNNNNNNNNNNNNNNNNNNNNNNNNNNNNNNNNNNNNNNNNNNNNNNNNNNNNNNNNNNNNNNNNNNNNNNNNNNNNNNNNNNNNNNNNNNNNNNNNNNNNNNNNNNNNNNNNNNNNNNNNNNNNNNNNNNNNNNNNNNNNNNNNNNNNNNNNNNNNNNNNNNNNNNNNNNNNNNNNNNNNNNNNNNNNNNNNNNNNNNNNUUAGAUAAUUAUUUUUGCUAUUUCUGGUGGAAUUACUAAUGCUCUCUUGUUUUUGUCUUUCCUUUCCUUCACUGCCGGGGGUUGAUUGGAAACAGCCUCUCUGCCCUUUCGGGUAGGGGUAAGGCUCGUCUACAUAUUACCCUCCCCAGACCCCACUUUGUGGGACUAUACUGGGUAGUUGUUGUUGUUGUUGUAUUCUUACGAUCUAGUACUUUUUGCUGGGACAACAUCUAUAAAAAUUGAUGUGAAACCCCAUUCUCUAUAGAUAUGGUAAUAACAAAAGGAUCUGUGUUUGCUAUAGAAAUCAAAGUCGAUCGAUGAAAUUUGAAUUCAAUUAAUCGAGAUAAUAACUCCGAAAACAUAGGAGAAUGGGAGAAGAAAAAAGAAAUAUUAAAAAAGUCAAACUUAAGUGGGACCUAUAAAAUUCCCUUUAUCUUAAAAAUAAAAAAUAAAAUAGUAUUAAAUUACUUCUAAUGCUAAUAUUGUAAUUUAUUUAAGGGCCCGUGUGCCACAGUGGAGGGACGUUAGGAUUAGGUGCAAUUAUGCAAACAUUGUUAACUAUUGGGAUAGAUUUGGAUGAAAAGUUAGAAGUAAACAGUAAACCAUAGUAGAGGGCUAAUUUUGGAUGUUUUCCCAAAAAUAUAUCAUAAUAGAACAUCAAAAGUAAACUAUCUAUAAAUCUUCCUAUCCAAAAAGAAGGAAUUUUUUGCAUUGCUCAUUCUCAAAGAAGUAAUGUUCAUUCUAUCCGUGUUUAGAUUAUUUUUAGCUUCUCUAUGGAGCUAAUGGCUAUUUGUGAUCUAAGUCAGAUUAUAGUAUUGUAUACCCCUAUAAUGAUUCAGUCGGUUAUUUUUAUGUAUCUGUGUCUCAUUUCCCUAUUUAAUGCUUUCUGUAUAUGUGUUUAUUGUUUUGUGACAAGGAGGUAGGGUUGUUUGGCUUUGGGAUGUUUUGAGUGUGCAUUUGGACACUUAGUCUCAUUUUGGACGCUUAAAUUGAUAGUGCAAACCAAGAUUUAUCUUAUAUGCGAAAGGCAUCGGAUCGGAGGUUUGGUGACUCUAAUAGGUUUGUAUGGUGAUUUUGUACUUGGGCAUUUGUUUGGAUUUGAAUUUUGAAGUCCCUAAAAGAUUUUGAGCCUAUUAAACCAAAAGUUGGAGACUAGAAGAAUUUGAGCAUUCCUAAGUUUGACCGAUAGUUGACUUUAACAUUAUCGGGCACUCAAUGUAAACUUGGAAUGGUUUGUUUUGUUGUUUGAAACAUGUGUGUAAUAUUUUGAUAUAAUCCGAUUGGUUAUGCUUGAAUCUAAUGCUUGGUUGGAGGUUUAGAAGUUCUUGAGCUUAAGAGAAGUUCAACUUGUGAUUUGAUCUUCGAUUCUGUCACGACCAUAGACCACUUUUUCGGCACCCGACAUACUAUCCAACUCGAGUGGACCAACCCUACAAAAAUACCCAUCUAUAUUCCUAAUAGAUACAUGCGGAAGUUAUUUUAAAAACACAAUCAUUUUAAAUAAUUAAGAUCAAACAUGAAACAUAAUCUCUAAACCUACCAUUUUCACUAAUUAAAAAUAUAUAAAGAUAACAAUAUUUCUUUCAUGCAUGCAAUAUGAAUAACUCUCAGUUACGACCUAAAAUAAUGAUAAUUGUCUAUGAAAUCUCUAUGACAUAAGGAUAGGAUAAAUACUAGGGAGAAACCCCAACUAAAGAAAGUAUGAUUGACAUGACAACUACCACGAAAUAGAAGUGGUGCCUCACCAUAUACACAGAAAGAGAGCUAUCCUAGCCUCAUUCACUCAUCAAGUACCACACCUCAUCCUGAAAAUAUGUAAAGUAAACGGGGCCCUAGAGAGGGCCUCCUAAGAGCUGAGUACACUACGGAAGUACUCAAUAAGUUUCAUAAACUCUCUCUAACUUGAGUUCGGACAAGGCUUUACAAAACAUAUUCAACCGAUAUUUUAUAUGAAGUGAUAAACCAUUACACAAGUUCAUACUCUAGCAUUUUAAAUAAAAUGAUUAGUAAUAUAAAUCAUGAUACAAUCUUUUAAAAUAUUUAUAUCAACCCAUGAUUCUAAUAAAAUCAUGCAAAAUCAUUUGAACUUCAAUAAGUCAUUGAAAUAACUUUUGGCUCCUUAGGCCCAUACAUAACAAAAUCCUCUUUUACCUUUUACUGGGAGAACUUUACUAUCAUCGACACAAGAAGUAAACUAGAUUAUGUACUUAGCGGUCAGUAUCAUAUACCCUACUUGCUCAUGCCGUCUCAUCGCAAUUACGUAUGAAGUGACAACCAUGCUAUUGAUAGCACAAAAUAACACCUUCCAGGGAGGAAUUGUCGUAGUCUAUACCACAAAGUGUAAAUCUAUGCCUACACUGACACGAGUAAUUUCAUGAUGACUAAUUUGAUAUAUCCAAAGUCAAUCUAUGUGAAGACAAGUAACUACCAAAAUAUUUUAUACUCCAAAAAUAGGUUCCCCCAUAAAUCAUAGAACUACCUUUUUAUUUCUGAAACUAUCAAUAUGAUCAAAAUCUCACACCUAUUCCUUGAAUAGUCUCGAACCAGCUGUGAUAAACCAUACCUACACCCUCGGGUGAAAUCAUAUGUUCUACCGCGUAAUCCAAGCACUGGAAAUGUAACUUCUAUUCACAUCAGUUGCCCAGAACAAUCAAAUACCGAUAGAAAAUCUCUUAUUAGCUAAAGUCUUAUUCCAACACUUUCAUAAACUGUGAACAAUAAUUGAAACAUGCAUUAAAUCAUAACCAUUGCUCAGAUCAACCAUUCGUGAUGCCAUUUCUCCUCUAGCAAUUAUCAUAUCAAAUUAAUCGAACCUCGAUAUUUACCCAUAAAACAUGCUGAAAUCAAAUCUGAUUGUAUUCAUUAAUGACCCCAACGAUCACUUCGAAUCCAACACACCACUCUGCUGAUGUUACACAUUAAUGCAGGACAAAGUUAAAACUUGCAUAAAAUGGGCACUAAUAAGAAACGGUUAGAACAUACUCAAAUUAUGAAAAUGACUCAAGUGAGAGAUUUGUACCUCAAAUUCACUAGUACUGUCACAACACAAAGCUGAGAUCCCAUCUCACACCAUAGAUAUAGGACAAAUAAAUUUGACCCGCAUGGUCAUUUUUCCACACAACUUUGCUGCAACGUGCGAUAUUGUCCAAAUACUACUCCACAGAAAACAUCUCGAGUCACUAUGCUUGAAAUUGACAACCACGCUAAAUUUAUGGCUGGAGCCAAUGGUGAUAUUACACAUUAAUACAGGACUAAGUCACAACUCACAUAAUACACGCACCAAUAAGAAACGGUUCGAACUUACUCAAAUCAAAAAAAUGACUCAACUAAGAGAGUUGUACCUCAAAUUCACUAAUACUGCCACAACACAAGGAUGAGACCCUAUCUCAUAUCAUAGAUAUAUGAUACACAAAUUGACAUGCAAUAAAAUAGUCUCAAAGUAUAUAUUUUUAUCAAGUCAAGCCAUCUAUACUCAAUCUAAAUCGUUCGAAUAAAAUCAAAUAAGAUCAUUCUUCAUUUCAUAUUGACCAAUUAUUAAAAUGAGAUGUCACGACCCAAAUCGAUGGGCCGUGACGAGUUCCCGAAUCCUACAUGUCGAAAAUCCUUAAGCAUGAGUUUAAAAUAUAAACAUGAAUAACAUAGGUAGGAAAACCCAUAUAAAUAUCUUAUGCAUAUAUACAUGCGAAAUAUAGUGGGUAUGCCGGCGAGGCUACAACAGAAUACUAUAUUCCCAAAACUAAAAGCCGACGAGGCAACCUACUAUCCAACUAUAUAUAAUUGUCUACAUACCUCUAAUAAAAAUACAAUUGUAAAAACAUGAUACUGAGCCACGUUAUACCCAUAUAUGUAUACAAGCAUAUCAUACCAAAAUCAAAUGCAACUCCCUAUUAAGUGGAGCAUGCCAACUCUUGCUGAUCAAGGAUCCUAAGAAGAGGGACCGUCAACUUACCUACCUGCAUCUGUGGGCAUAAAACGCAGGCCCCGAAAAAUAGGAUGUCAGUACGAAUAAUGUACUGAGUAUGUAAGGCAUGAAAAUCAAUACGUAAAAGACAUAGAUGAAAUAUAGAAUAAGGAAUUCCGCAUGUAAGUCCAAAUAACUUUGAAAUCCUGAAACAUUUAUAAUAGCAUGCAUGUGUGCGUAAAUGUUGAGUCAUGCAUAGGUAUGGGUGUACAUAACAUCAUCAAGCCUCUUAGGGCAUCCCAUCAUACCAUCUCGGCCACUGUGGGAAAAAUCAUCAACAUAUACCAGAUGAUUAGGUAGUGGCGCGUAUAUAUAUCGUAACCUUUGUCCAUAUAUAUAUACACAUGUAAAAUGCCAUUUGGUCAUAUGUCAGUGUAAAUGAAUGAAAUGCAGGAUAAGUACGUCAAUAAGAUAUUUCAAAGUGUCAUAAGACCAUUUUGCCUCUGGUUAAUAUCACGAAAUAGACUUCAUCAACUUACAUAUUUUCCGAGACCCAUGACAAAUGAUGGAAUAAUAUGACAAAUGGGGAGUCAAGAACAUAAGCAUCUCUAAUAUUUCUAUUAAUAGAAUGAUGUACGGAAAUUGUAAAAUUUGCUUAUUUCUUUUGUGUCGUAUGGAUCAUGUCAAAAUAAAUACGAGAUAGCCUUAAUAUUCCCAAGUAGGGAAAAAUCCGUACGAUAUUCUUGGAAAGAGUUAUACCGUACUCCUUUAGAAUCGCAACUAACGUUGCUAAGGUUCUAAUAAUUCUUGUUGGAAUCGUUUGGUUGCAAGAAGUUUUUGUUGAAAAUUUGUAGGAAUUUUAUAAGAAAUUUCGUUGCCGAGGUUUCAAACCUCCCAUCAGAUUGUAGUAUUGAAAUUUUUAGAAAUGAAGUAGUGAUCCCAUAUGGUUGUAGUAUUGACAUUGUUAGAAAUGAAGUAGUGUUGUUAGAAAUGAAAUGUUUUGUAUUCAAAAUCCUAAAAUGAAGUGCUGCUAAUGUUCUGAUGAAGUCUUUCAAAAUAUGAAGUGUUGUGUCUUUUAAUUAUCCAUUAGGUUGGCACCUAAUUACAAAUAACCAAGAUUCAUUUGUUUGGAAAGUGGCUUACUGCCGCGUUGGGGUUAAUCUUAUCUUAUAAUUUAUUAAUUAAAUUAAUAAUAUCCCGUUAUUCUAUAAUUAAUCAAUUUCGUACAUAAUUAAGAAUUAUCUCAAAUUACUCAAAAUAAUACUCAUUUUUAAUAUACAUUAUACAUCAUAUUAUCAUGGUCAAAUGGUAGCUUUUACGGUACUAGUCCCUAAAUAUUGCGUAUUAUAGCUCGGAGCGUAUUUUAUCCCAAAUCGACAACCUUCAACGAUACUCAUUUUCUUUAAUUUACCCUUUACCCUAUAUGGUACUUACUUAUCUCUUGUUAUAAAUAGGAUAAAUAUAUUGACCUGAAGGUAAUCUCAUCGUCAAGUCUAUGUCGAUUAACUGAAUACAAAACUUUAAUCGUACGAAAACACGAUUUGUAACAUCCUUCCUCUCUUAGAAACAUUCGCCCUCGAAUGUUUAGCUCCCCGGGAUCUAUAUAACUUUUUCAUAGUCGCCUUUGUAACAAUACUACUACUUUUUGUUCCUGUAGAAUGCAAUAAUUUAAUGCCACAUAGGACCACAAUCAUCAAUAAUGACAAUGGCUUCACACGACAAAUAAGAAUAACUAACACAAGAAUCCAUACACGUACAUUAAGGUUGUGAUGUCUCAGUCAAACCCUUAUCUGGAGGAGGAUAUAAGUAGAGAUAUCUAUACUUCAUGUCUUCGUCGGCUUCCCAAGUCAUUUCUUCCACGUUGUUUCAAAGUACUGUCACCAAAGCUAUGUCUUUAGUUCUCAAUAUCCAAACCUGUCUAUCUAAUAUAGCAAUGGGAGAUUCAUCAUAUGAUUGUUGCUGUGUUACAUGAACAUCGUCAACUGCCACAAUUCCUGAAGGAUCUUCGAGACAUUUACGAAGUAUAGACACAUGAAAGACUGGAUGUACAGAAACUAUGUUCGAAGGCAAGUCUUACUCAUAUGCUACCUGGCCUACCGUGCGUAUGAUCCUAUAUGGUCCAACGUACAGAGGGAGAAGUUUUAUUUCUUUGAGAACCUCAAAACGCCUUUCAUCGGUAAUACCUUUCGGAAUACGAAGUCGUCAACCUGAAACACCAAGUUCCGCCAUCGAUUAUCCGCAUAAGAAUUCUGACAACUUUGAGCUGCUAAUAGCCUUUUAUGUAUAAGAUUAAUUUUCUCGAUUGCCUAUUGUACCAAUUCUGGUCCAACUAACAGAGUUUACGUAACAUCGAACUACUGUAUAGGUGAGCUACACUUUUAUCUAUAAAGGGCUUAUAAUGUAGCCAUCUAAAUACUGGUAUGGUAGCUAUUAUUAUAUGCAAACUCAAUAAGCGGCAAAUAAUCAUCUAACUACCUUUAAAGUGUAUCACACAAGCUCGUAACAUAUCCUCAAGUGUUUGAAUAGUACGUUCGGCCUGUCUGUUUGUCUGGGAUAGAAUGUUGUACUAAGACUUACCUGAGUCCCCAAUCCUUUAGGAAAAGACCUCCAGAAGUUAGCUGCAAAUUGAGCUCCCCUAUCCGACAUAAUAGAUACAGGGACACCAUGUAUUCGUACCAUCUCCUUAAUAUAAAGCAUUGCAUAAUCCUCUGCAGAAUAUGUAGUCCUAACGGGCCGAAAAUAGGCUGACUUUGUAACUCUAUCAACAAUCACCCAUAUCGAAUCAAACUAAAGCUGGGCACGAGGUAAGCCUGCGAUGAAAUCCAUAUUGAUUACUUCUCAUUUUCAAGUCAGAAUCUCCAUAGCCUGCAAUAAUCCACCAAGUUUUUUAUGCUCAAUCUUAACAUGCUAACAGUUAGGACACUAAGAAACAAACUCCACUAUAUCCUUCUUCAUUUUCGUCCCACCAAUAUAAUUCCCUGAUAUCAUGAUACAUCUUUGUCUCUCCUUGAUGGAUAGAAUAAUAAGAACAGUGAAAUUCUCCCAUAACCUGCCGAUGCAACCCUGCAACAUUAGGGACACAUAAGCAUCCUCGAUAUCUGAGGACCUCGUCUUUUGUAUUUUUUAAAUUUUUUCUUCUCUUUCUGAGGGGUCGUAUCCUUAAAAUGACACUAACAUAGGAUCCUCAUACAGGCAUUACUUUACUUCAGUUACUAAGGAGGAUGUUAUCGUAUCCUAAAUAGUAAUUCCAAUAUCACUUGAGUCUAGCAACCGAACUCCAAGACUUGCUAGCUGAUGAACCUCAUGGACUAUUCGCCUAUGUUUUGGUGGUAAAUAUGACAAGCUAACCAUAGAUCUAUAGAUGAGGGCUUCGGCUACUACGUUCUCCUACCCGGAUGGUAUAAAAUAUCAACAUCAUAGUUUUUAAGUAGCUCCAACCAUAUCUUUUGACGUAAAUUCAAUUCCUUUUACUUUAAGAUAUACUGAAGGCUCUUAUGAUCCAUAUAGAUAUCAAAAUGAAUACCAUACAAGUAGUGCAUCCACAUCUUUAGUGCAUGAAUCACCGUGACUAAUGCUAAAUCGUAGGUCGGGUUCUCGUUUUUUCUUAGUUGUGUAGAAGAAUAAGCUACAACCUAACCAUGCUGCAUCAACAAACAAACCAAUCAAAUGGCUGAAGCAUCCAAUAGAUAACAUAGCCAUCUAUCCCUUCUGGUAGCAUUAGAACUGGUGUUGAAGUUAAUCUGUCAUUCAAUGCCUGGAAACUCUACUUGCAAGCAUCAGUCCAUUGAAACUUUGCCACCUUCUUAAUCAACUUUGUUAAGGGUGCUGAGAGGAAGAAAAUUCUGAUAAAAAUCUAUUUUAAUUGUUCGCCAAACGGAGAAGCCACGAACCUUCAUCUGUGUUGUGGGUGUAGGUGAAGUCUUUACUAGCUCAAUCUUUUGUGUAUCCACCUAGAUGUCUUCACACAAAAUGUAAUGCCCAAAGAAAGCUACAGAGUUCAACCAGAAUUCACAUUCAGAGAGAUUUCCAUAUAACUUCCCAUUUUGUAGAACUUUGAGCACAAUACAUGAAUGAUCUGUAUGCUAAACACAUGAACGAGAAUGCACCAAUAUAUCGUCGAUAAAUACAGUUGCAAACAGAUCUAAAAAGGGCUGGAACAAAAGUUCAUCAAAUCCAUGAAUAUUGUUGGGGCAUGGUCAAAUCAAACGAUAUAACACGAAAUCAAAGUGCUCGUAUCUGGUCCUGAAUGUUGUCUUCGGAAUAUCUUCCUCCUUAACCCUUACCUUAUGGUACCCGGACCUCAAGUCUAUUUUUGAAAAACACUUGGCACCUUGCAACUAAUCAAAUAAAUAAUCAAUCUUCUGGAGUGGGUACUUAUUCUUGAUUGUCACCUUAUUCAACUUUCUAUAAUCAACCCACAUCCAUAAGGAACCAUCUUUAUUCCUCACAAAGAACACCAUUGCUCCCCACGGUGAUGUACUAGGUCUGAUAAAGCCAUUUUCAAGCACGUCCUUCAGUUGUUCUUUAAACUCUUUCAGCUCUUCGAGGGCCAUUCUAUGGGGAAGAAUAGAUAUUGGAUGAGUAUUUGGUACUAGGUCAAUAGCAAAUUCAAUUUCUCGCUCCGGCGGAAGACAUAAAGUCUUUUAGGGAAAAAUAUCUGGAAACUCGUUAACUAUAGGGAUGGAUUUAAUGGUUGGUGACUCUACUUCCACAUCAUGUGCCCUAACAAAAUGAUAAAUACAACCCUUUAUGAUCAUCUUCCUUGCCUUGAGAUAGGAAAUAAAUCUACCUUUUGGCGACGCUGUAUUACGAUUCCAUCCCAAAACAUGCUACCCUGUAAAUUGAAAUCAAAUUGUCUUUGACCUGCAAUCAACAUUGGCAUGACAAGAAGCCAACCAAUCCAUACCCAUUAUAACAUAAAAUUCUACCAUAUCUAACUCAAUUAGAUCUGCUGUGGAAGAUUGACUAUGAACUACUAUUAUACAACCCAUAUAUACUCGUUUAGAUAUCAUAAAGUCCCCAACAUGUGUAGACACCUCAAAAGGUUUAACCAAUUUAGGUUUUAUUCCAAAUUUACUAGCAACCAACGGAGUAACAUAUGAUAAUGUGGAACCUAGGUCACUCAGUGCAUAUAUAUCAUAUGAGGAGAAUGAUAAUAUACCUGUAACAACAUUAAGGGAUGACUCAUGAUCCUUGCCACACAUCUUUUUUACACCCGAGGGGUAUAUAAGGAAGCUUUUUCAAUUUAACUGACGCAAAUCGAAAUGGGAUUAUUUUUAUUUAAUUCAGAGUCUCCACUUGGAAUAAUUUAUGGUGUCCCAAGUCAACGGUUUAUUUUUAAUAUUCCAAAUCCAGGAAAAUUGACUUUAUUUAAAAGUUUGCGAAACUAGAAAUUCUAGAAAAGGAAUUCUGUUAACCAGAGAGAAAGUGUUAGGCAUUCUCGGAUUUCGUGGUUCGAGCACGAUCACUUAACUAUUAAAAUUGGCGUAAUUAUCUGAUUUACUACAUGUAUUAAACUUGUGGUACAUUUUUAACUUUAUAACCGCUUUUAUUUAUCUAACCGAUAUUAGGACUUAUGGAAAUUAAUUGAAAAAGUCACGAUGUCGUGCACUCAUUUGUUUGUACAUAUUGCGAAUUGUGCCACAUGAAAUACACCCGUAAUUUACAACAUGUUUAUUUUAAUUAAUGUUCGAGGUUAUGGUCGGGUCACACGAAAUGCACACCCGAGUAGGAUUUAAGUAUCGUGACCAUGCCACAGGAACCAUACCCAUAGCCACGAUAAUUGUUUUAUUUGCCAAAAAGUUUGCCUACCCACGUGGUCGGCCUAAACAUACUCCUAGCGUCUUAAACGAUUUAUAUGAAGAAAUAGGAUAAAGUAAUGAAAUAAUUAGAGUUUCAUUUUCUUUUCAUGUACAGAAUUACCUCCCUAAUACUCACCUCUCUGAUUCUCCCAAUGCAGUCCGCGUGAAAUGAGGUGCGACCGCAUUGGUCAAGCGCAGACCGCACAAUGAGGGAUGCGACUACACUGGAUGUAUGCCAGGUUUCAGAACAAAGGCCACUGCGGACCGCACCAUCAGGAGUGUGGCGGCAUCAAGCCAACUUAUGGGAACUAUGUUCGGGUUUCAAAUUUUUUUGUUUUUCAUUUUUUUGUUCUAUAUUUUACUCCUAAUUGUCCCUACUCGAUUACCCAACAUGGAAAGCAUACUCAGCAUUCAAAACCAACAUUUAAACUAUUUUAAUAAUUAAAUCCAAGAAAAACAGACAAAACGAAGAAGUUAAACCUACUGGGAAACAAUAAAGAUUAAAAAUAUAAACUAAUUGAUGACAAUUGUAAGAAAUGUUACCAUAAUUUAGAAUAACCAACUAAAUCUAUGCAAGCACAUGGCCUCAGAGGUGUAUGAACAGUAGAAAUAGGGCUCAGGCCUUCACAUUUGUGAAAAGUGUAGAAUGAAGCCCUGGGUCUUUAUGUAUAGAAAAACCAACAGGCACGUACCUACCUAACAGCGUAGCCACGUAAAAAUGAUCACAUACCGCACUGGGUUUUGAACAUGAACCCUUUCUAUAACCCUCACAUGCAGACCGCACAAAAAAGAGACGCGGACGCAUGAGUCCACAAGCGGACCGCACUAUCAUGACUGCGGCCGCGUGGAAAUCUUCAGAGACUAGAAAUUCUCAGCUCGUACCAGCGUGGACCGCACAAAGUGCACCGCAGCCGCACUGGAAACUUUAGAGACUGCAUUUUUAAACUUUUUUUGCACUGCUUCAACGCAACUUGCAACUUCUCACAAACAACUAGCUGAAAAUCCUAAUCGACAAAGAAAAUCAAAGAGAAAGAAAAAGAUAUGGGCUUCCUCCCAAGAAGCGACUGAUUUAACGUCGCAGCACGAUACAUGUAAAAUAUCACUUCAAAUGAAUGAGUGCACCACAUGGUUGUCAUCAAACUUCCCCAAAUAGUACUUGACAUGAUGCCCAUUGACUCGGAAAACUUCACUAUUCUUGUUCUUGAGAUCAAUAGCACCAAAUGAGGUCACACCAACAACUUCAAAUGGACCAAUCCACUUUGACUUGAGUUUUCUAGAAAUAACCCCAACCAGUAGUUGAAAAGAAGAACCAUAUCACCAACCUUGAAUUCCUUUCCCCGAGCAUAUUUGUCGUGAAGAUACUUCAUCAUGUCUUUAUACAAGGACGAGCUGGAGUAGACAUGAAAUUUAAACUCAUCUAGAUCAUUAAGUUGUUCAACACAGAGAUUCACCGCAACAUCCCAUUCCAAAUUCGACUUUCUUAAGGCCCACAUAGCCUUGUGCUCCAAUUCCACCGGAAGAUGGCAAGAUUUUUCAAACACCAACCGGUACGGAGACAUACCAAUUGGGGUCUUGCAAGUCGUCUGAUAGGCCCAAAGAGCAUCUUCUAAUUUUUUCUACCAAUCAAUCCUAUUAGCAUUGAGGGUUUUAGACAAGAUACUCUUAAUUUCUCGGUUGGAGACCUCCACUUGACCACUAGCUUGAGGAUGAUAGGGGGUGGUCACUUUGUGAUUGAGUCCAUAUUUUGCAAGCAACGAAUCAAAAGCCUUGUUGCAAAAGUGAGAUCCCCAGUCACGAAUGAUAGAUCAAGGGGUACCAAACUUGUCUUUAUAAAAGGACGAGUUGGAGUAGGCAUGAAAUCUAAAGUCGUCUAGCUCAUUGAGUUUCUCAACCCGGAGAUUCGCCGCAACAUCCCAUUCUAAGUUAAACUUCCUCAAAGCCCACAUAGCCUUGUGCUCCAAUUCUAUCGGAAGAUGACAAGCUUUCCAAAAUACCAACCGGUACGGAGACAUACCAAUUGGGGUCUUGUAAGCCAUUCGAUAGGCUCAAAGAGUAUCAUCUAAUUUCUUUGACGAAUUGGUCCUAUUGGCAUUGAGAGUUUUAGACAAGAUACUCUUAAUUUCUCGAUAGGAAACUUCCACUUGACCACUAGCUUGAGGAUGAUAGGGGGUGGUCACUUUGUGAUUUACUCCAUACUUGGAAAGCCAUGAAUCAAAAUCCUUGUUGCAAAAAUGAGAUCCUCCAUCACUAAUGAUAGCACGGGGAGUGACAAACCUUGUGAAAAUACACUUUUUAAGAAAUGCCAACACACUUCAGGCUUCAUUAUUGGGCAAAGCCACGACUUCAACCGACUUCAAGACAUAAUCCACCACCACCAAAAUAUAACUGUUUCCACAAGAGCUCACUAAAGGACACAUAAAGUCGAUACCCCAAACAAUCAAAAAUGUCCACCUCUAAAAUUGUAUUGAUAGGCAUCUCAUAAUUUUUAGAAAUCCCACCGGCUAGUUAGAAUUCAUCACAUCCCUUGAAAAAAUCACUGGCGUCUUUAGACAAGGACGACCAAUACAAUCUGUAACUAAGAACCUUAGAGGCCGUCCUCACCCCGCCAUGAUGGCCACCUUAGGGAGAGGAAUGACAAGCCUCCAAAAUGCUUAAUUGUUCUUCUUCCGGGACACAUGACGAAUCACACCAUCGGUGCAAAUCUUGAACAAAUAUGGCUCAUCCCAAUAAACAUCCAAGCUAUCCUGCUUGAGCUACUUAAUUUGGUUACAAGAGAGUUAAUAUGAGAUUAUACCGGUCACAAGAUAGUUGGCGACAUCGCCAAACCACGGCAUAUCAUGCACUGUCACCAUGGGGAGUUGUUCAUCCGGAAAUGCAUCAUUGAUCUCAAGGCCGUCCCAAGGCCUCCCCUCCUCCUCCAAACGGGAUAAGUGGUCCGCCACUUAAUUUUCACUCCCUUUUUGGUCCAUAAUUUUUAGCUCAAAUUCUUGAUGAAGUAACACCCAUCUCAUCAAUAUCUCCUUGGAGUCUUUCUUGGUUAUCAAAAAUCUAAGGGCAGCAUGAUCCAUAUGGAUAAUCACUUUGGCCCCCAUAAGGUAUGGUCGUAACUUUUCCAUGGAAAAACAAUAGCUAGAAAUUUCUUAUCGGUGACUGUGUAAUUUCUUUGAGCAUCAUUCAUGGUCUUGCUUGAGUAGUACACCGGAUAGAACAUCUUGUUGAUUCUUUGGCCCAUGACCGCCCCCACCGCAACAUCACCAGCAUCAUACAUGAGCUCAAAAGGCAAGCUCCAAUUUGGUGCAGUAAUGAUAGAGGAUGUUGUCAACUUGUGUUUUAGAAGCUUGAAAGCCUCCAUGCAUGUCUCAUAAAAAAUAAACUUGGCCUCUUUCCCUAGAAACUUGCACAAUGCGUUAACUACCUUAUAAAUAUCUUUGAUGAACCUUUGGUAGAAACCCGCGUGUCCAAGAAAGCUCCUCACCCCUUUGAAAGUAGGAGGAGGAAGCCUUGAAAUAACCUCGAUCUUGGCCAUGCCAACUUCAAUUCCCCGAUUCGAAAUCUUGUCACCCAACACAAUACCCUCUUCUAUCAUAAAAUGACAUUUUUUCCAAUUGAGAACCCGGUUCGUGUCUUCACAUCGGGCCAACACUUGAUCCAGAUUUACAAAACACUCAUCGAAAGAAUCCCCAACCACGCUAAUAUUAUCCAUGAAGACAUCUAAUAAAUCUUCCACCAUGUUGGUGAAAAUAUUCAUCAUACAACUUUGGAAAGUCGCCGGAGCAUUACACAAUCUAAAUGGCAUCCUCGAGAAUGUGAAUGUGCCAUAAGGACAUGUAAAGGUCAUAUUCUCUUGGUUCUUCGAGGAAAUGAUAAUUUUAUUAUGCCCUGAGUACCCAUCCAAAAAGCAAUGGAACGCUCGGCCCGUAAGAUGUUCAAGCAAUUGGUCAAGGAACGACAACGGGAAAUGAUCCUUUCUAGUCACCUUGUUAAGCUUUCGGUAAUCCAUAUAAACUUUCCAACCCACUACUAAAAAUGAUCUUAUGCAUGCAAAAGUCGGGGCUUAUACUACAAAUAUCGGCCAACGUCCAUCCAAUCGCCUUCUUGCGCUUUUGAAGAACUGCCAAAGUGGCAUCAACCUGCACGUUUGUUAAGCGAUACGAAAGAAUAAAAGGCAAAGUACAAUUUGAGCCAACAAUUCAUACCUGAGGUGAGGAGGAAAAGGUUUCAACUCAAACAACGGUGGCUCCUCAAUAGAUGGCUUAGUUGGGGGACUUUUGCGAUUCUCAAGAUUCAAUGAUAACUUCUUAGGCUCAUAUGAAUAUGAACCCAUACCAUGCAAUGCAUUUAUACACUCCACUCUUCCAGCAUCCUCAUUAACAUCCAUGUUUAGAAGAAUGGCCUCAAGUGGGUCUUCAACAUUAAUCAUCGCGCUUGUGUCAUCCACUAUCACUGUCGUGACAAUGUCCAUAAACGAUCACACCUCGGUUCCAUUUGGUUGCCUCAUAGAUUUCUGCGUAGCUAGGAAAUGGAAAUUCAACUCUCCCACCUCAACAUCAAACAAAGUCUUCUCCGUAGCGAGGAAAGGUCUUCCAAGAAUAAUCAAGACUUCAAGGUCUUCUUCACAGUCCAAUAUAAUGAAGUCGAUCGGCAAGAUGAAUUUAUCAACAUGAACAAGGACGUUUUCAAUUAUACCCAAAGGUCACUUCAUUGACCGAUCCGCCAUUUGGAGCCCCGUUGAAGUUGGGCAAGGUUGUCUGAUUCCCAAGGUCUUGAAAAACAAAUAUGGCAUUAAGUUUAUACUCACCCCCAAGUCACAAAGGGCUUUGGCAAAGUCGAUACUUCCAAUUGGUACAUGGAAUAGUAAAUGUACAGGGGUCCUCAAGUUUUGGAGCCCUAGAAUGUAUGAUUGCGCUCACUUGAUGAGUUGUCUUGAUUGUCUCACACUACAUUGACCUCUUUUUCGUAACCAAGUCCUUCAUGAACUUUGCGUACCCUGGCAUUUUCUCGAGUUCCCCCACUAAUGGCACGUUGAUAGUUAGACUCUUCAUCAUGUCAAUGAAUUUCUUGAAUUGGAUGUCACCCUUUUGUUUUGUCAACCGUUGAGGAUAAGGCAGAGGGCGCCUAAGAAAGGGUGCCUUGGCUUUCUGCACCACCGGCUCGGGAAUAUCAAUCACGUGUUCACUAGAUGGGUUCAUGGCCUCUUGUGUCUCCUCCUCAACCUCAUCAAUAUCAAUCCAUGCACCAUUGUUAAUAUUGGGUUCAACUACAUCCUCACCCACCAAAGGCAUAUCAUCACCCCGCAACUCAUCUUCAUCAACCAUAACUUGAUUUACACUUGAGGCAUGCACAUCACCGCCUCUGCCACUUUGUGUUGUCACCGCCAUCACAUGAUUGUGGUGCCCGCCUUAGGGUUUACUCCCGUAUCACUUGGUAGAGAACCCUUUGGGCGAGUAUUUAAAGAUUGAGAAAUUUGGCCAAGUUGCACCUCCAAGUUAUGGAUAGAGGUGUUGUGGUACGCCAAUUGAGCAUCAGAGUCUUGGUUAUUUUUCAUAAUUUGCUCGAACAUAUCGACCCAUGUCAUUACCCAAAGAACUAGACCCUUGAGAUUGAAACGGUGGUGGGUUGUUCGGUUGUUGAUACAUCGGAGGCCUUUGAAAGCCUUGCCCUCGAUUACCUUGACCACCAUUGUUAUUCCACCCACCUUGACCAUUGUUGUUGUUCCAAUUGUUGUUGUUGUCGUUACCCUUUGGGCGAGUAUUUAAAGAUUGAGAAAUUUGGCCAAGUUGCACCUCCAAGUUAUGGAUAGAGGUGUUGUGGGAAGCUAAUUGAGCAUCGGAGUCUUGGUUCUUUUUCAUCAUUUUCUUAAACAUUACUUCAAUUCGACCCAUGUCAUUAUCCAAAGAACUAGACCCUUGAGAUUGGAACAUUGGUGGGUUGUUCGGUUGUUGAUACAUCGGAGUCCUUUGAAAGCGUUGCCCCGAUUACCUUGACCACCAUGACCAUUAUUGUCGUUACAAUUGUUUUUUUGUUCCCGUUCCAAUUCCUUUGAUUACCCGAGUUGUUAUUCCCCCAAUUUCCACCUUGCUUGGUAAUGUUCCAAGUACUACCUUGUUGAUUGCCCCAAUUUCUUUAUGAUCGCCAUUGUUGGUUCGAAUGGUUGCCUCGGUUUCCUUGGUAAUUGUUGAUAUAUUGAACCUCCUCGCUUUGAUCAUCAUAGCACUCAUUCUAAAAACCAUUACCAUCAUCAUAGUUAUCAUAAUUUCCUUUAGGUUGUUGCCCUCUUUUCCUCCUUUUUAACAUAUUCACUCCUUCCAGGGAAUUUACUUGGUGCGAGUUUUGGACUUGUUGUAAUUGCGCCUUGGCCAAUUGAGUCAUUGUUGUUGUAAGUUCGGCAAUGGCUUUGUCGUGGUCGUGCAUCUCAUUAUGCAAAUGUAUGACCGUAGGAUCAACUUGAGGAACAUUUGCUCGACUUUGACAUGCUGAAGAAAUAUCAAUCAUUUAAUUUAAGACAUCACAAGCUUCAUUAUAUAGAAGAUUCAUAAAAUUUCCUCCGGCCAAUUUAUUUACAAUACAUUGGUUGUUGUGUUGAUGCCCCGAUAGAACGUUUCUUGAAUCAUCACAUUGCUCAUGUCAUUAUUUGGGCACUCUUUAACCAUAGUUCUAAAUCUCUCCCAUAUUUCGUGCAAGGGUUCUGUUGGCUCUUGUUUGAAAGCAAAAUUUUCAUUAUGGAGCGCCACCAUGUGACUUGGAUAAAAGAACUUGGAAAUGACUUUGUCCGCCAAUUCAUCCCACCUUGUGGUUGAAUGACUAGGGAGCCUUUCUAACCAGUCCAGCACUUUACCCCAAAGAGAGAAUGGGAAAAGCCUCAAUCUCAACGCAUCCUAUGACACGUUUGUCUUCUUGCUAUCCCAGCAUCUAUCUACGAACCCCUUCAAGUGCUUGGAGGUAUUUUGAUCGGAAGCGCCCGUAAAAUAUCAACUUUGCUUGAGCAGGGUUAGCAUAACAUUUGUAAUUUAAAAGUUCCCAGCCCGAAUUCGGGGAUGAACAAUGGCACUCUCUUACCCUUGAUUUGCGAUAACUCUUGGGGCCACUCUUGGCGGAGGCGAAGAGGGUCUGGAAUGUUCUCAUUUGCAUUGGAAUUUUGACCUCUUUUUUUACUAGAGGUAAUAUAUCUUCUUGCUAAAGAUCCUCAACCUCCUCCAUCGCGACCACAUCGCCAAGUUGGUCAUAUAUAUUUAAAGCCAUGUGUACCUGAGUGAUUGACACGAAUAAAAUUAGUAAAAAGAAGGAAAGAGAAGCAAAACACAAAACUUGCUACACAGAUAGUCAACACCAUAAGCUCCCCCGCAACAGCGUCAAAAAGUGAUCAAUGCCGACUCAACACUACACGAAUGUAGGAAGAGCGGGUCGCAACAGCUUUUAUGUCACCUAGGGAAUAAGGGGCAUGAUGACUUGACGUCAUCCUCACCUUCCUCCGGCUUAUCACCGGCAGUUUGUUCAGGGUUCCAAACUCAACGAUGGCAACUAAACACGAGGGUUGCGCUCGUUGCGGGACUUAACCCAACACCUUACGGCACGAGCUGACGAUCCGGCUUAUCACCGGCAGUUUGUUCAGGGUUCCAAACUCAACGAUGGAAACUAAACACG
rnacentral:lncRNA from 1 species